ACGUGAUCUAAGUAAAAAAAAAAAACAACAGACAAAGCAAACAGUCAAAUACCAAAUGCCAGAACACACGGGAUUAUGAUUUUCAUCAGGAGUGAAACAGCUACAUCCGUCUUUAGACUUCCAUUCUGAAGUCCCAGAUAAAGAGACGGGGAGGAGAGAAAGAUUCGCUCAGAUUCCUGCCGCAGCCAUUUUGAAACUUUGUCAAACUGGAAACUUAAAGCUGCAGUGCGUAACAGACUUGACUGAGGGAGUGCUUGUGUUAUGCAGCAUCACGCAGCAUCGGGGCGGGGCGGGGACAAGAGGCAUUUAUCCCAUCCAACUGCUCAGUGACCUGGUUUUUGAGCAGCCGAAUUCGCUAUUGACACUUUCCAGUCAUCCUCCAACCCGUUUGAAGUCGCCUCGCCUUUUAAGUAUAACGCCGCCGCUGUCCCCCCGACGUAAAACAAAUCACUUCCUGUGCGCAGCGUGGAAAUGUCGCCAGGUGACACGAGAGAGGGUCAUGUGGAGCUAACAAAGAGACUUAAAAGUUAUGCACUAAAGCUUUAAAUACAGUCCAAACAGACCCGUAGUUGACACCUAGCAUGAGGUCACGUUCUCUCUGUUAAUCAUUUCUUUACAUUUUUGAAUCUGGUUAUUUAAUGUGUUUACCAACCUGUUUAAAAUAACUGUUAACCUAUGAAUGAAGUCUGUCUGCUUUUCUUAUCAUUUCAUUGAUACCAGCGUAACUGCUCACUUUAACCUUUUCCAAAUACACAUUUUAGUCGUAAGUCCAGUAUUUCCCACUGACUAAACAAUGACCUACAGUUAGUGUGGCACAAAAUGAAAAGUAUUCAUCACCCAGGUUAAUGCUGACUGUGAUCGUUUGGGGUUAUAUAUUUUUUUCCCCCCAACCAGCACAUCAUUUUUAAUUUUUUUGAAGGCAUAAUGGAACAAAAAGGUGCAGCUUCAGCGAGCUGUUGAAUGAAGAGUUGCAGACGACGAGCGGCACACCUACGCCACCGUCUCCUCCUCCUCCUCCUCCUCCUCCUCGGCAAGGGAGGAGGCCGCUCUCAGAAGUAUUCAGAGGAAAAUGACUGAGGAUCUAUGUCGCAGCAACAAGCAAAACAAACUCAGGUGUUGAUUUCUGGGACGACGUGGAUACACACAAAACAACAUCUGCUCAACAAAAGGGGAAAAAAAAUAAAGAAAACCCAAUUUCACUCACGACUUUUAAGGGUUUUCCUCUAAGGGUUUCCUUCUGGAAAUGGUUAUGACUGUGAACCCAACUAACCACUAAAAGCAAACGCAGCCUUGAUUCAUUUAGAAACAGGAUAUUUCACCUUGUCCUGAACUGUAGAUGGCCUUCACUGAUUUCUUCACCUUCUGCAGGGACGUUCGAUCCUGGUCCAGCGCCUGAGGAAGAAAGGAGGAGACAGUUUUACGACUUUCCCUUCCUUUAACGACAAACUGGAAAUAAUCACAUCAAGAGACAGCGAAAAUAUUUCUGAAAAUAUCGGCUUAGGUGCUCAUAUUUGCACAACAACUCAAAGCAUGCACCCGCGCUACAUGGAACUAAUGCAGACAGUGCUUGACCUGAAUGUGACAUAAAUCAUUAUUUCAGCACUGAUGACUGCAGGAGAAAUCUCUCCCUGUUGCCUCACCAGAAAGCAAAUAUGCAGGUUUUGUGUUGUUUUUUUCAAGCUCUGGCUAUUUAUUCUGAUAAAUAAUUAUUCACAGUGAAACAUUUAAAUGCUUGCAAUAUAAACAAUACGGCUGACCUAGUGAAUUAUCUGCCCCCGCUUCGCUGCAAUUUCAGAGAUUAAUGCUCACGGUUCAGAAACAACAGCAACAGGGAAUUAAAAAUAAUGACUAGUAUGAAUAGAAAAGAAAAAUACUUCACACAUAAGACUUUACUUGAGCGAGCUGCUGGGGCAUAUUAACGGUUUCUUUUUUGUAUUAUUAAUUUCUUAUCCUUUCAAGUGUGUCAAUAAAAAUCCUUUUGAACGUGACCACCAAUGCCAUCUGUCCAAAAUAUGUUGGAUUCUGUGAUAAAUCACUUCAUUUGUUGAGUUUUCCAACUCAACAGCUUCUCUGUCAAGAGACAUUUUAGGCAGCAACAAUUAAUGAUCAGUUAUUAACCGAUUAUUAAAGUAACUGUUUCGAUAAUCACCUUAUCCAUUUAAGCUUUUCGGAAAAACAAGCCCUCUGAUUUCAUCUCAUGGAUAAAAACAAGUAAUGGAGUCACUGAGCAAAUAAUUGCCAGAUAAAUAAUCAACAACCCUGAUUGACAAAUGUAAAUAUUGAGAGCGGUACAUUUAAUGUCAGGUUGUUUAUCUCCACCAGCUUGUGCUCUUUAUUGAAAUGUACAGCUCAUGUUUCUUUUUAUCGUGAGAAUAAAGUAUGUGUUGGUGACACAGGG